CGGCAACAGCUCAAAUUUGAAAUCUGGCUCUUUCAGAGUCCGAGUUGUAAUUUGCAGAGGGUGCUUUGGUGGUAGUUGCGGUCUAAGUUCUUUGGAACAGGAAGCCAAAGAGGGUGAGAGUCCCGU
rnacentral:rRNA from 1 species